UAACGGGGCUAAACCAUGCACCGAAGCUGCGGCAGCGACACGUAUGUGUUGUUGGGUAGGGGAGCGUUCUGUAAGCCUGUGAAGGUGUGCUGUGAGGCAUGCUGGAGGUAUCAGAAGUGCGAAUGCUGACAUAAGUAACGAUAAAGCGGGUGAAAAGCCCGCUCGCCGGAAGACCAAGGGUUCCUGUCCAACGUUAAUCGGGGCAGGGUGAGUCGACCCCUAAGGCGAGGCCGAAAGGCGUAGUCGAUGGGAAACAGGUUAAUAUUCCUGUACUUGGUGUUACUGCGAAGGGGGGACGGAGAAGGCUAUGUCGGCCGGGCGACGGUUGUCCCGGUUUAAGCGUGUAGGCUGACUUUCCAGGCAAAUCCGGAAGGUUAAGGCUGAGGCGUGAUGACGAGGCACCACGGUGCUGAAGUGACAAAUGCCCUGCUUCCAGGAAAAGCCUCUAAGCAUCAGGUAACAUCAAAUCGUACCCCAAACCGACACAGGUGGUCAGGUAGAGAAUACCAAGGCGCUUGAGAGAACUCGGGUGAAGGAACUAGGCAAAAUGGUGCCGUAACUUCGGGAGAAGGCACGCUGACAUGUAGGUGAAGCCCCUGCGGGUGGAGCUGAAGUCAGUCGAAGAUACCAGCUGGCUGCAACUGUUUAUUAAAAACACAGCACUGUGCAAACACGAAAGUGGACGUAUACGGUGUGACGCCUGCCCGGUGCCGGAAGGUUAAUUGAUGGGGUUAUCGCAAGAGAAGCUCCUGAUCGAAGCCCCGGUAAACGGCGGCCGUAACUAUAACGGUCCUAAGGUAGCGAAAUUCCUUGUCGGGUAAGUUCCGACCUGCACGAAUGGCGUAAUGAUGGCCAGGCUGUCUCCACCCGAGACUCAGUGAAAUUGAACUCGCUGUGAAGAUGCAGUGUACCCGCGGCAAGACGGAAAGACCCCGUGAACCUUUACUACAGCUUGACACUGAACAUUGAGCCUUGAUGUGUAGGAUAGGUGGGAGGCUUUGAAGCGUGGACGCCAGUCUGCGUGGAGCCGACCUUGAAAUACCACCCUUUAAUGUUUGAUGUUCUAACCUGGCGCCGUGAUCCGGCGUGGGGACAGUGUCUGGUGGGUAGUUUGACUGGGGCGGUCUCCUCCCAAAGUGUAACGGAGGAGCACGAAGGUCAGCUAAUCCUGGUCGGACAUCAGGAGGUUAGUGCAAUGGCAUAAGCUGGCUUGACUGCGAGAGUGACGGCUCGAGCAGGUGCGAAAGCAGGUCAUAGUGAUCCGGUGGUUCUGUAUGGAAGGGCCAUCGCUCAACGGAUAAAAGGUACUCCGGGGAUAACAGGCUGAUACCGCCCAAGAGUUCAUAUCGACGGCGGUGUUUGGCACCUCGAUGUCGGCUCAUCACAUCCUGGGGCUGAAGUAGGUCCCAAGGGUAUGGCUGUUCGCCAUUUAAAGUGGUACGCGAGCUGGGUUUAGAACGUCGUGAGACAGUUCGGUCCCUAUCUGCCGUGGGCGCUGGAGAAUUGAGGGGGGCUGCUCCCAGUACGAGAGGACCGGAGUGGACGCAUCACUGGUGUUCGGGUUGUCAUGCCAAUGGCACUGCCCGGUAGCUAAAUGCGGAAGAGAUAAGUGCUGAAAGCAUCUAAGCACGAAACUUGCCCCG
rnacentral:rRNA from 1 species